rnacentral:rRNA from 1 species
UACGGAGGGGGCUAGCGUUGUUCGGAAUUACUGGGCGUAAAGCGCACGUAGGCGGCUUGGCAAGUCGGAUGUGAAAUCCCUCGGCUCAACCAAGGAAGUGCAUCCGAAACUGCUGAGCUUGAGUUCUUAAGAGGAUCGCGGAAUUCCCGGUGUAGAGGUGAAAUUCGUAGAUAUUCGGAGGAACACCAGUGGCGAAGGCGGCUCACUGGCUCGGUACUGACGCUGAGGUGCGAAAGCGUGGGGAGCAAACAGG